ensembl:lncRNA
UGUACCACAUAUUUAUUUCAAAUCUUAAUUACAACUGUGCUUUUCCAUGAGACUGGACUGUGGGAGUGAUUGAACUAUGGUAGAACAUGAUGCGUGUGUGUGUGUUUGUGUGUCAGCUUAGUGCCCUUGUUGUUGUGCAACCAUGGUGUCAUCCUGGUGUCACAGUGCCCUCCCUGUAUGGCCAACAUUUCUCAGUGUGCAGAAAGGCACACAACACCGUGGAGGAUGCGAUGAUAGGAGCAGUGACCUCUCAACGUCCUAAUGAUAGGACCAUAUGAUCAUAAAAACUACACUCGCAUUAACCUUCUGAGAUCUGAAGACUGACUUGUGUUAGCUUCUUGAGCUAAUGCCUAGGCAGUCUUGAGUUGUGCAACCCAAGUUUGAAAAAGUGACCGGUAACAUCUGAGGGUGCAGGUCCUACUUUUAAAAUGGGGAAAUAAUGUGAAGGAGAGAUGACAGUAUCUGCAGCUAGAAGUCACUAGGUUUGCAACAUUCUGGAAACUUUCAAUAAAUUCCCUGGUUUUUCCAGAAAUCCUUUUUUUGUUGCACUUUUCCAAAAAAACAACAACUGAAAUAUCACAUUUACAUAAGCAUUCAGUCCCUUUACUCUGUACUUUUUUGAAGCACCUUUGGCAGCGAUUACAGCCUCGAGCCUUCUUGGGUAUGACGCUACAAGCUUGGCACACCUGUAUUUGGGGAGUUUCUCCCAUUAUUUUCUGCAGAUCCCCUUAAGCUCUGUCAGGUUGGAAGGGGAGAGUCGCUGCACAGCUAUUUUCGGGUCUCUCCAGAGAUGUUAGAGCGGGUUCAUGUCCGGGCUCCGGCUUGGCCACUCAAGGACAUUCAGAAUCUUGCCCCGAAGCCACUCCUGCAUUGUCUUGGCUGUGUGCUUAGGGUCGUUGUCCUGUUGGGAGGUGAACCUUCGCCCCAGUCUGAGGUCCUAAGCACUCUGGAGCGGGUUUUCAUCAAGGGUGUCGCCCAUCUUCCCCAAUAUCCCCAGUGUAUUUAUACCUGUGUUUUCUGUCUGUCUGUGCCAGUUCAUCUUGUUUGCCAAGUCAACCAGCGGUUUUUCUCUUAGCUCUCUGUUUUUCCUCUUCCUCCUGGUUCUGAACCUUGCCUGUCCUGACUCUGAGCCCACCUGCCUGACCAUUCUGACUGCCCUUGACCUCGAGCCUGCCUGCUGCCCUGUACCAUUUUGGAAUAUGACCUGGUUAUGAACUGAACUCUUGCCUGUCCCCGACUUGCCUUUUUCCUACUCCUUGGAUUAUAAUAAAUAUCAGAGCUCAAGCCAUCUGCCUCCCGUGUCUACAUCUGGGUCUCGCCUUGUGUCGUUAUAUCUAAUUAACAAUGACAUUCUUUUCAAUUAACUCUGCAACUCUUCCAACGAUUGAC